rnacentral:rRNA from 1 species
GUGAGGAAUAUUGGUCAAUGGGCGAGAGCCUGAACCAGCCAAGUCGCGUGAAGGAAGAAGGAUCUAUGGUUCGUAAACUUCUUUUGCAGGGGAAUAAAGUGCAGGACGUGUCCUGUUUUGUAUGUACCCUGAGAAUAAGGAUCGGCUAACUCCGUGCCAGCAGCCGCGGUAAUACGGAGGAUCCGAGCGUUAUCCGGAUUUAUUGGGUUUAAAGGGUGCGUAGGUUGUUUGAUAAGUCAGCGGUGAAAGUUUGCAGCUUAACUGUAAAAAUGCCAUUGAAACUGUCGGACUUGAGUGUAAAUGAGGUAGGCGGAAUGCGUGGUGUAGCGGUGAAAUGCAUAGAUAUCACGCAGAACUCCGAUUGCGAAGGCAGCUUACUAAGCUACAACUGACACUGAAGCACGAAAGCGUGGGGAUCAAACAGGAUUAGAAACCCGGGUAGUCC